rnacentral:rRNA from 1 species
AUUGAACGCUGGCGGAAUGCUUUACACAUGCAAGUCGAGCGGCAGCACGGGGGCAACCUUGGUUGCGAGCGGCGAACGGGUGAGUAACACACCGGAACAUGCCCAGUCGUGGGUGGUAACACUUUGAAAGAAGUGCUAAUACUGCAUACGUCCUGCGGGAGAAAGCGGGGGAUCGCAAGACCUCGCGCGAUUGUAGUGGUCGAUGUCAGAUUAGCUAGUUGGUGGGGUAAGGGCCUACCAAGGCAACGAUCUGUAGAUGGUCGGAGAGGAUGAUAAGCCACAUUGGGACUGAGACACGGCCCAGACUCCUACGAGAGGGAGCAGAGGGGAAUUUUAGGCAAUGGGGGCGACCCUGAUCCAGCCAGACCGCGUGAGUGAAGAAGGCGUUCGGGGUGGGAAGCUCUUUCGGCAGUAGCGAAACGGUGAGCUCUAACAUAGCUUGCUAAUGACGGUACCUGAAGAAGAAGCACCGGCUAACUACGUG